rnacentral:rRNA from 1 species
GACGAACGCUGGCGGCGUGCCUAACACAUGCAAGUCGAACGGAGAUAUAAUUUCGGUUAUAUCUUAGUGGCGAACGGGUGAGUAACGCGUGAGCAACCUGACUCUUAGAGGGGGAUAACACCCGGAAACGAGUGCUAAUACCGCAUAAGACCACGACAUGGCAUCAUGACGAGGUCAAAGGAGCAAUCCGCUGAGAGAGGGGCUCGCGUCCCAUUAGAUAGAUGGCGGGGUAACGGCCCACCAUGUCAGCGAUGGGUAGCCGAGCUGAGAGGCUGAUCGGCCACACUGGAACUGAGACACGGUCCAGACUCCUACGGGAGGCAGCAGUGGGGAAUAUUGGGCAAUGGGCGCAAGCCUGACCCAGCAACGCCGCGUGAGGGAAGAAGGCUUCGGGUUGUAAACCUCUGUCCUUGGUGACGAACAAAUGACGGUAGCCAAGGAGGAAGCCCCGGCUAACUACGUG